rnacentral:tRNA from 1 species
UGAUGCAGCGUCCUGGGAUCGGAGCAGCUGACUCUUAAUCAGCGGGUCCCAGGUUCGAGCCCUGGUGCGCCCACCA